AAUACAUAUCAAUAAGCGGAGGAAAAGAAACCAACUGGGAUUGCCCUAGUAACGGCGAGUGAAGCGGCAAUAGCUCAAAUUUGAAAUCUGGCUCCUUUUAGGGGUCCGAGUUGUAAUUUGCAGAGGGUGCUUUGGCGUAGGUAGCGGUCUAAGUUCCUUGGAACAGGACAUCGCAGAGGGUGAGAAUCCCGUUUGUGGUCGCAUGCCUUCGCCGUGUAAAGCCCCUUCGACGAGUCGAGUUGUUUGGGAAUGCAGCUCUAAAUGGGAGGUAAAUUUCUUCUAAAGCUAAAUACUGGCCAGAGACCGAUAGCGCACAAGUAGAGUGAUCGAAAGAUGAAAAGCACUUUGGAAAGAGAGUCAAACAGCACGUGAAAUUGUUAAAAGGGAAGCGCUUGCAGCCAGACUUGCCCGUAGUUGCUCACCUAGGCUUUUGCCUGGGGCAUUCUUCUGCGGGCAGGCCAGCAUCAGUUUGGGCGGUCGGAUAAAGGUCUCUGUCAUGUAACUUCCUUCGGGAAGAACUUAUAGGGGAGACGAAAUGCGACCAGCCCGGACUGAGGUCCGCGCUUCUGCUAGGAUGCUGGCGUAAUGGCUGUAAGCGGCCCGUCUUGAAACACGGACCAAGGAGUCUAACAUCUAUGCGAGUGUUUGGGUGUCAAGCCCGAGCGCGUAAUGAAAGUGAACGGAGGUGGGAACCCUUUGGGUGCACCAUCGACCGAUCCUGAUGUCUUCGGAUGGAUUUGAGUAAGAGCAUAGCUGUUGGGACCCGAAAGAUGGUGAACUAUGCUUGAAUAGGGUGAAGCCAGAGGAAACUCUGGUGGAGGCUCGCAGCGGUUCUGACGUGCAAAUCGAUCGUCAAAUUUGGGCAUAGGGGCGAAAGACUAAUCGAACUAUCUAGUAGCUGGUUCCUGCGAGU
rnacentral:rRNA from 1 species